GCUGGGCACAGUGGCAUAUGCCUGUAAUCCCAGCAGCUCAGGAGGCUGAGGCAGGAGGAUCGCAAGUUCAAAACCAGCCUCAGCAAAUUAGUGAGGCCCUAAGCAACUCAGUGAGACCCUGUCUCUA
rnacentral:sRNA from 1 species